GUAGUCAAUAAAAAACCUGAACAUUGGUCAAAUUCUUUAACUUUGGUAUGAAUAUCAAAUAAAGAAGAUUGGUUGCCAUGGGAACAUGCAGAAUAACUUUCUCACAAAGGUUUUUGUUGCUUCAUAGUAUUGUAUUCUUGAUCUGAACACUAAAGCUAGAAAAAACAAAUGAAUGACCAUUGACAUAUUUGCUUGUUUCUCUCCAAUAAACAGCUGUUGUUCAAUUAUAUUGUAGCACACGCCAUAUAACAAAUGUUGUCCAAAAUAAACAAUAACAUAAGUUUUCAUUUAAUUGCGUUCAAUAUCAAUGUGAAUCUUCAUUUUACCCAAAAAUUCUUCAAUUGAUGGAUUUUAUUGAUGAACACAAAUGUGUUUUUAUGAAAAACAAUAGCAUAUGCAAAAUAAAAGUAUAAUUUUUAGACAAGAAAUUGUCUCCAUGGUUACCGUGGAAUCAAUUUCAAUUACUGAUAGCUUAAUUAAAACUUUAACAUUUCAAUAUCACUGUCUGAAAGUUUGAAUGUUGUAGAACAAGUAUUAUUUAAAUUGUAUUCUUUUAAAGUCAAUGGGUGAUAUAUUUAACAUUCACUCAAAACAACUCAGCAGUGAGCACUGAACUACACUUACAACAUUGCAGCAUGUUGAUGUGUGAUGCUGAUAAUACAGAGACAGCUAGAGUGACAGAGUUUGAUGAAUAAACUUAAAUUAAAAAACAGAAAUAACCACCAUCUCUCUCAGAGGUCAUCUUUCUCAUUAUUGUGGGGAAACCUCAAAGGGCAUCAGGAAAACCUUCAUCAACCUCUUUGUGCCCAGUGGCUUGUGCAACAGUGUUUCAGAAAUUAUCAUUAAAAUGGGGAUAAUGGAUGACUGGCCACACAUAUGGGGCUAUGGACAAGCUUCAGAGCAGGCUGCCAGGUGGUGGUGUUAGUAGUUUAUACUCCGGGUCCCGGCGUGAGCACAUUGAAGGGUCCCAGAGUGACAGUUCAACCACCGCACACCUAUCCUGGGCAGAACCAGUACUAGGUGCCUUCACCUCUGCAAGGAACUGACAGCUUCUGUACAUGCCAGGUGCAGUGGUACAGUGCGAAUGGUCGUAGAAAGGAUUUCAUAACCAAUCACAACAGAGGUGACCUGGUCCGCCCGGGAAUCGAACCCGGGAUGUCCAAUUCAGAGUCCAACGCUCUACCGAUUGAGCUGACCGGGCGGACAUAUUAGCUACAUUAGAUGACAAGCCAUCUAUGCUGGACAUUCUUCACAAUAAAAUGUGAUGUCACAGGAGCUGUCUAUCUCAACAGCUCACACUGUCCGUAUUUGACUAAAGGAAUGAAUGAAGUCACUGCAGAAGUUAGAUUGAGGAAUGUUCAUGUCACUACCCAUCAUUUGGAAGGAGUUGGAUAAAAAAAGUGUGGCCUAUGUAUUGAAACAGGUCCGAUUUCCAGUUACGGACAGUCUUGAUUUGUCUGAUUACAUUUUUGACCAACAUGAUGGUCUAAAAGAACACUUACUGGUAACUGGUAAAAUCAUGGCCCAGUUGUUCCAAGAGGCAGGCGAGUGGGAAGUUACUAGACUCCAUUUCUUUAUGGGUUGAUCUGAGGUUCCAGUUCAGUUAAAGUACUGAUAGAACACCAAGUGUUUGCCAUAAUACAGCAACAUUUGAUUUGUAACUAUGUAUUUGUUUGAAUUGUUGAAACAGUACUGUUUACUAAAUAAUGUGUAUGUAUAUGAAGAAUAAUAUUAUAAAUAAUUUGUAAGAACCUUUUGAUAUUAAGUAAAAUGUCGAUAAGUCUAAAUAUGUAUCUGCGAAUCAUUUUUGUAUAUCUGUAAAGAUUACAUUGCCUAUAUUCCUCAAUUUAUAUUUUUCUUUUAGCCAGUCAAUAACUUUUCUUAAGUUCUAUCUUCAAAAUUGUCGGGACAGGGAUUAUAGCCCUUAAUUAACCCAAAUAUGUAACAUUCAAUGCAAAAUUUCUAAUUGGCUGCAGUAAGGCAGUUCAGAUGCAGGAACAAACAUCACUUGGGUCCUUAAUAAUAGCUUUCCAUCUGACAUUGAAGAUCCAAUAAAAGGAAUUUGUCAUGUGACUGUUUAUUAACUCUCAAUUUAUUGAAAGUGAAAUUACUUACAUGAUUUGUAAGAACUAAAUUAUAAUGAUAUCAAAUGAUUGUUUAAAUUAAA